CAUCCGCAGCAGCGUCGCCGCCUCCAGUCGGAAUAAUUUCCAUGAGAAGAGCAGAUGACGGCUUUUGUAUUUCUCUUCACUUCUUCGGUUUAACUUUCUAUUCUUCUCACCGCGGCGCGUUCGCGCUCGUCCGGUCCAUCGCUCCACCGUCAUGGCGCCGGUGGGGGUCUGAGCAGCGAGCCGUCGGAGCGGUACGAAGUGAAAUGCAUCCCCGGAGCGCUGAACCUGUUCCCCGCCGCUCAGCACAAAGCCUGUGAAGCAGGCCGAGUUUCCUCCUCCUCAGCGGGCCGCGGACGAUGCGCAGACAUGUCGGGGAAUCACUACAAAGGCAACGAAGUGAGCUGCUGCAUCAAAUACUUCAUCUUCGGCUUCAACAUCCUCUUCUGGCUGCUGGGGAUGGCCUUAGUUGGAAUCGGACUGUGGGCCUGGAGUGAGAAGGGGGUUCUGUCCAACAUCUCAUCCAUCACAGAUCUGGGGGGUCUCGACCCCGUCUGGCUCUUCAUGGUGGUCGGGGGGGUCAUGUUCAUCCUGGGCUUCGCCGGAUGCAUCGGAGCGCUGCGGGAAAACACGUUUCUGCUCAAAUUUUUCUCGGUGUUUCUGGGGAUCAUCUUUUUCUUGGAGCUGACGACGGGAGUCCUGGCGUUUGUCUUCAAGGACUGGAUCAAAGACCAGCUCAACCUGUUCAUCAACAACAACAUCCGGGCGUAUCGGGAUGACAUCGAUCUGCAGAACCUCAUCGAUUUCACUCAGGAAUACUGGGAGUGCUGCGGUGCUUUUGGAGCAGACGAUUGGAACCUAAACAUCUAUUUUAACUGCACUGAUGGGAAUCCUAGCCGGGAAAAGUGUGGCGUUCCCUUCUCUUGCUGCACCAAAGACCCAGCAGAGGAUGUAAUAAACACUCAGUGUGGAUAUGACAUUCGAGCUAAACCAGACUCGGAGCAGAAGGACUACAUCAAUGUGAAAGGCUGUGUGCCGCAGUUUGAGAAGUGGCUGCAGGACAACCUCACCUUAGUGGCCGGGAUCUUCAUAGGAGUUGCACUACUGCAGAUUUUUGGAAUUUGUUUGGCCCAAAACUUAGUGAGCGACAUCGAGGCCGUGCGGGCGAGCUGGGUGCCCCCCCCUCUGUCCAUGCGUCGACUCCCACCACACUCCAGCAAGAAAGCAUCGGCUUACUACUCAUGAGACGCACAUGCUGUGUGUGUGUUUGUAGCCGUUUCUUUACCUAAUGCUGAAGCAGCAUUUCCACUCUAACAGCUCCAUCUUUGAACACUGUCAGGGGAAACUCGGAGGAUGACACCGAUCACCUGCACCAUUUCCUUCACUGAACCAGCACCUUUUUUUCGAGGCACUAAUACGUGAAGUGCUCUGUACAUAAACACUGUGUAUGACUACUGUAAAACGAACGGUUGAACACGGACUACAUGCAGAUCAUUGCCAGGCUGCAGUUUUGAUAGCUACAUUUAGACUGUAAGAGUUUUGAUACAUCAUUUUGAUAUUAGAUCCGUAUUUUUCACUGUGGAAACUUGGGCCCAUUGUUCCAUUGCUGAGGUUGUCAGACAUAAGUGCUUGCUUCGUAAACCUUCCCACCACUUGUGCAGGACUCUAAGGAACUCACUGGUUUUCAACUAAAAUCACGCACACGAAAAAAACCCAACACAGUUAGGAUUGUAGUUUGAUUUAUCUGUGGAAUUAUUGUUGCACUAACUGAUUAUUCUAGUUCCUGUUCAGCAGCUGUCAAACAGCGAUGUGGACAUUUACGAAUAAUUCCUGGAGGAGCUGGUUAUUACUGAACUAAUGGACUAAAAGGGUUGAGUAUAAAUGAUUGAUGGAUUAGAUGAAAUUUCACUUUGUAGCGCCCCUUUGUGCUACAAAUUCCAUGCAGUGGGAACUCUGCUAUCAAAUCUCAGUUUUUUUAGCUUCUGUCCACAGAAAUAAUUAAUAAUUCCUGAUUUAAAUCUAUCUUAUUCAAGUUCCUUUGUGGCUGCUUUCACUUCGACUUUAAAUCUUUGGCUUUUUUUAAUGUAAAGAAUAGUUGCGGGUGCUCACAUGCAGUAUGCUUUGAUUGAGUUACUUUCUGCCGUAAUUGUUCCCUCUUGAAUCCCAUCAUAACCAAUAGUCCCUGUUCCAUUCAAAAUGUACUGAACAAAAAUAUAAACGCAGCAUAGAAGAAUAAUUAGGUGUUGUUCCAAUAGACGAAAUCAGAAUGGACGCUGGAGAAGAACCGAAUAUGCACAAUACUGGAAAUAAUAAUCAACAGAACGGUCAUGGAACAAAAUAACGAGUCCAUCCAGCAUUUGCAUCGUGUUACACCGAGUUAUUGAGGUUGUCUAUGCUGGCUUGGGGAAUGUUGUCCUUCCGAUCAAGUCAGUAUAAAUUUCGAUGACAUUGUCCAACAUGUCCAUCCAGAGCAUCCAACAGAUGUUCAAUGGGGACGUGUCUGGAGAGUCUACAGGCUGUGGUAGGACCAGAACAUUUUCAGCUUUUAGAAGAGCAGCAUGUGUUCUGGUCUCUUUGAAACGUCAAGUAUUGUUGGCAAAUCAAACGGGAUGGCCACGGAUGUGAGGAUUUCAUCUGGAGCUUUGAAAUGACCAUGAAAUGCAGACCUGUUCUUUGUCUAUAUGUUAUUCCUGGUCACGCUGUUUAAUCAUUCCUUCAAAGACGUUCUGUGCACAAUUGGCUAAAUUGAACCCUGUCAGAAAUUAGAUUUUUACCUUUGGGACCAUUUUCAUGCUGCGUUUAUAUUUUUGUUCCAGACUCUGAACAGCAUUUCGUACAGAACUGGGACUAUCCAUUAACACCCAAUGACUUUAUGUACAGACAGUAGGCUACAGACUCGAGAAAUCCAAAUGAACCCAUGAAACAAAACUGUAGGAUUCUCAAUAUGACAUGGUUUGGGUAGCAAAAGUCUAUUGGAAGAUAUUUAGGGAUACUCAGUCCUGAUCACAACACAUCGCAUAUAAGAAAAUUAUCAUAAUCUUUUUACUGUUAUCAGAGUCGUGAAGGUUCUUCCCAUCUUUUAAAAAAAGUCCAUAUACUCAAGGGACUACAAAACAUGUAGUUCUACACCUGUCGUUUCACGUCACUGUGGUUUGUAGAUUAAAUGUUUUUGGUGGGACAUCUCUAAAACUUCAAUGAAGUGUGGUGGAAAGUCAGAACAUGGGCCAAGGAAGCAGCUAUUUUUCAUUGGAUGUGCAUCAGAGAACUUUUCGUACGCUCAAAUGGGCAUUUUUAAACAUUUUCAGUUUUUCAUGAACAGCAUUAAUGCACUUACUUGAAUGAAAAGCAAACCUAGCACUUGUACCCCACGAUUGUCGUUCACUUUGUGUAUUUUGAUGCAGAUCUGAUCAGUUUACACAACAUUGAAUGAAAACUAGUCGAUUAAUCUGGAAUUGGAAAAAAAGCUGAUUUUUUAUCGGUGUUUCUUUUGAUGGUUAUAAGUGAUGACUUGCUGAAAGCACGUGUUUGUAUUAAAGUAUUGACAGUAUUUUUUCAAGCGGUGGUCUUUGUUGUGAAGCGUAACUCAGAUUUGUCCCAUUCUGAGGUACUUUAAAAGGGAUCGACCUUGUUUUUGAUACUAAAUAUUUAUUGGUUUUCUAGCACUAAAACACAGAACUACUGAUUCUGAUUUGUCAUGGUUUGGAAGGUUGUAAAACGUUCUAACGAGGUGUUCUGCAGUCCUGUGAGGUGUCUCACUCAUCACUACCUUUACCACAUUCAUGGAUUGUUUAGCUGAUAUCUGUAUAAUCCCACAAACGUUGUAAUGUAACUACCUCCUCUCGUUUCCCCGUCUCAUGUCCCGUUGAAACUGAUUUUAAUGUCAAGUAAAAUUAAUUAAUAAACUGACGAAAACACUGA